rnacentral:rRNA from 1 species
GGCCACGCCGGCGGAAAGGGCAGCAGAGGUGCUUGUCUGCCGUAGUCUUGGAAUUGUCAAGGAUGGAGAAGAUGUCACGAAGGCAAUCCUCGAUGUCUUCACGUGGCGGUUCAAGGAGAACCUUCCAGUGGACGUGAUACUAGCCAUGCGAUAUUUUUUCAAGGUUGAUGACGGACAGGCGGCUGAGGUCGGGGAGGCUCUCAUUGCUCUGGGGGAGCUGCACCGCUGGACCUGGAUACGGCUGCUGGAGGUGCUGCAUCACAGCCGGCGGCCACCUGAUGUGGUGUUGCUGUCAUGGGGUUACCAAGGUUCCCAUGUUAGUUCAACAUUUUGUACCAGGGGGUGUUUGCAGCUCGGGUUGCUAUGCUGGAAUCGUAGUUUGAUUCUGUGUAAUUGCUUGAUGGUGUGUCUCAAGCUUGGUCUGGUUGUGAGCGAAUAUGUCUAUGCCUAACCAGUUGCACGCGCAACUCCAAUCGUCGCCGUCGCUGCGUUAUGUGGAUCCGUGCGCGCGUGCCCCACCUGGUCCCUCCUAACAACCCAUAUUUGCAUUUUCUCAGCGCGAUACGCGGCAGGAAUACAGUCACAUCGUAUCACCCUCGUUCUCUCGUUCCCCACCGCCCCUGUUCCUUCUCUUCUCGUUCCCCAUCUCCAUCUCCAUCGAAUCCAGCGCACCGCCGGCUCCCUCCUCCACCACCAUGGCCACUCACCGCCGGGUCGCUCCUCCAUGGCCUCGAGCCCUCUCCCCUGUGACGUUCUUCUUCACCCAUAGGCGAUUGUUCUCCACCCACGCCCCGCUGCCUCUAUCGUCAGAUCCGCCAUCGAGGUAAGAUGGAACAGCAUGCCAGCAUGACUACCUCAUCGCCAUCGAGCCUCCUGGUGAGAGGAUGCCGAGCAUCGACGAACAACGAGCAGCAGCAUCACCACCACUGUGAGCAGAUCGGUGAUGGAGAUCUACGCAUUAAGGCAGUGAGGAGUCAAGCGGCUCGGCGGCAAAGCCCAGACACACACCUUCCACAAGCACGCCAGUGGUCAAGAGCUCCAACUCAUCUUUGCCGUCUUCCUCGGAGGUAUCAGCGAUCCAUCUACUUGUUUUUUUUAAACAAGAUUUUUGUUCUUUUCUCAAUCUUUCGAUAUGCAUCUGAUUUCGUGUGUGAUAGUGGUUUUUAUGUGAUGGAUUUUUCACCCAGCACACUUAGGCCUUGUUCGGUUGCACAGGGUUUGAGGGGGAUUAAAGGGGAUUGUGAGGGAUUACAUCCCCUGUAAGUCAAAUUCCUUCCCAAUCCCCUUCAAACCUCUCCAAUCCCCUUGGGGAAGGGAUUAAACGAACAAGCCCUUAGGAAGAUGGAUUGAUCUUAUUUUGUUUCCUCUCCUGCAGCUUUCGGCAAAUGACUGCUCUUGUUUUGCCCCUCUCCAUAAACAGGAAAACGGAUUGAUGUUAAUGUACUUUUGCAAUUCAUAGUUUGCUGGAAGAAACAAGGACCUUUUUGAUGGCUAUCUCUGGAUUCUUUGGCUACUGUAAUUAUUAUGGCCUCAGUUUUGUACAUGAAACAUACUGAUUUGGUGAAGAACUAUUUGGGGAUAUUUUCUGAAGAAUGAUCUAACAAUAAUUUGGAAUGAUUUCUAAAGAACUUCAUAAAAAAUUCUAAAGAACUUUCUAAGAAACGAAGAACUUUCUAACAGGACUUUGUUAACAUGGUGUCCGAACUUUGCCAUAAAAAUCAGAAGAACUUUUGAGAAAACUUCGCCAUUACUAAUUGUUUCCUUGGAUUUUGUAAAGUUCUUUGGAAUUUCCAGUAGAGUUCGCCACAGCCAUCUAAAAAUUCCUUUGAUAUAAUCCAGUAAUUCAUUUCAUUAGUUUUUUCUGAGAAUAAUUUCGUUAUUUUAAGUAAAUAAUAAACCACAUAUUUAAUCAUUGACUAAACAUGGUGCAUUAGCCACCCAGGCCCUUGUGUCUCUCGCAUGGACGAACAGCUUGGUCCCGCGUGAGGUCAAAUCAGCUGGAAUACGGCUGACUAUACAAACGGGCGAAAUCUCUAGCAUGAUGGAAUACCAUGCAUGACUGACAUAGACGUGGGCCAUGUUGAUUUGACAACAGGCUGGAUGUGCGGACGUGCGAUGCGGAUACAGGUUGUGCGCGCAUAGUGUUAGGAUAAAUCCACGUUGGGUUGUAAGCGCUGUGUUAGCUGUUGUCUUAGGCAAAGUGCCAUGUAUCAGGGUGAACCAUGUCUCGUUAGUUGUUGUCUUUGGCAGAGUGCCAUGUAUCAGGGUGAGCCAUGUUUCAUUAUGUUAGAACAACUUAUCUGAGGGUGUCCUGAACUAAGGGGUAUCAACCUGUACAGCCUGUCGUCUAUGGGCCGGGACGAUGAUCCACCAACCAUCGGAGGAAGGAUUGCCGACGUUGUGGCCCUCGGCGUAAGAAGGACGGAAACUUCGGAAGACUAAGCGUGUACUUCAAGGAGAGCUCAAUAUUCAACAUGGUUUUUCCUAGUUGGUAACCGACCUUACGUGUAACCUAGUUACCUCUGGUGUGUAUAUAACUCGAGGGGUUUAGUCCGUAGGAGGGCAAUCGCAAGAAUUAGGCUUUAGAACUCAAUCAUAUGAUCUCAAGGUAGAUCAUUCUGUAUUAUGUACUCCAUCACAUCAAUACUAUCAAAGCAGGACGUAGGGUUUUACUUCCUCGAGACAGUCCGAACCUGGGUAACCAUCGUCUCCUUUGUCUCAUGUUACCAUUGCUCCUAUACCCACUGCUCGGGGGCUCCCUACCUUAGAUCCGUCGGUUUUAGUACGGACACUAUAAACGUAGUUAGUUGGUGUUGG